UACGUAGGGUGCAAGCGUUGUCCGGAAUUAUUGGGCGUAAAGAGCUCGUAGGCGGUCUGUCGCGUCGGCUGUGAAAUCCCGGGGCUCAACCUCGGGUCUGCAGUCGAUACGGGCAAACUAGAGUAUUGCAGGGGAGACUGGAAUUCCUGGUGUAGCGGUGAAAUGCGCAGAUAUCAGGAGGAACACCGGUGGCGAAGGCGGGUCUCUGGGCAAUAACUGACGCUGAGGAGCGAAAGCGUGGGGAGCGAACAGG
rnacentral:rRNA from 1 species